GAACCAACGAUGGUUUGUAUAUCAAGUGUAGAUUCAUGAAUGGCUUUGGUGAGAUCACUUUCUAUUCUUUCUUUUCUUUGCAAAUUCAAUCGUUCAUAUAUAUUUUGCAAACAGUUAAGAACAGAAGCAUUACAGUAUCUUAUUUCGAAUGCAUCAAAAAUCAACGGACGAUGUUGUUAAUCAAAAACACUAUGUCAUCUUUCACAGCAGAGACAUUACAAUUCAUCAGGUAGGGUGGGUUCUCAUAUUCCGGCUAUAUAAGUUUGACCUAAAAGGUUAAAAGUUCACACACUAGGCGCCUCCUUUCGUCUUUCGUUUCUUUAUCAUUCUCAAAAUUGCAGUCGCUAGAAGUUGUCUUCUGAGACUACUGUAAAAAGAUAUGGAAGAAAUGCAUGGAAGUAAGUCAUCUGAUUGCAUAAAGAAUGAAGGGAUGCUGCUAAUCAAAUCAACGCUUUCACAGGAAAAACAUUACGUUACGGUACCAUCAGGCAGCAAUGGACCUUGAAAGUUAAUAUAUGGAGAAAGUUCAGUGAACUUGAUGGGAAACGUAGUUGAGAUCCGUCUCUCAAACGACGUCGUCUCUGUUCAAGUCAAAUCUCGUAUUAAAGAGUAGAAGUCAUAUUAAAUAUAGAGUUAGCAUGUAAUUUUAUGUAUUAUUUUAUUAAAUUUCUACUGUGUUUUUCGUUUCAUUUAAAGAUGUAAUGAGAUAACAAGUGAUAAAA